rnacentral:rRNA from 1 species
GAGAAGGAAAGGCUCCUUAUGAUGAUUCACACCCUAGAGUUAAAAGCUGAAACCUCUCUUUUAGAUACCAGAGAGUUGGAGUCUAAAUUGGAGGCCGAGCUAAGGCUGAAAGAGCUUCUCCGUGAGGAGGAAUUGAAGUGGGCUCUCAGAGCUAAGGUUCGCAAGGUUGUCCAAGGUGAGGAUAAUACCCAAUUCUUUCAUAUGAUUGCUAACGGAAAGCAUCGUAAGAAGAGAAUUUUUCAAUUAGAACAAGAUGAAGGAACGAUAGUUGGUCAGGAAAACCUGAAAGUUUACAUUACCAACUACUAUAAGCAGUUAUUUGGACCUCCGGAACGGAGUUUUGUGUCUUUGGAUGAGUCAAGAGUUGAGGAUGUUCCCCAACUUCAGACGGAAGAGAAUGAGAUUUUGACUGCCCCUUUCACGGAGAAGGAGGUGUAUGAG